CAGCCUUUUGUCAAACAGUGAAAGUUGUAACCGUCCAACGCGAAAAUCAUCUUCAAAAUCCAGGAAAGGAGAAAAAAAAUAUUAAGAAGGGAUAAAUUAUUGGGUGCCAUGUUGUUGAGAGUGUGGAAAUGGUAC